ACCCGAAAGAUCGAAUGGGGAGACUCAAUGUUUUCGCGGCUGGCUUCCAUGUGGUGCGCGAUGUCUGAGACGGGUGCCCUCGGGUGCUCGUUGAUUUCACGCUGCCGCUGUGGUAUGUGUCCGGCCGCGUCGGCGUGCACUUCUCCCCUAGUAGAACGUCGCGACCCGCUGGGUGUCGAUUUAAGGGCCGAGAUCGUCGACUGUACCGAACGCUUCGGCGCGCGGUCGCAGGCGCUUGGUUACCCCGAUCGGCUGCCCGGCGGUACGCACAAGGUAUCGAGCCGCACUUUGAACGCGUCUGGACCCGUCGCAAGCUUGGUCAGUUCUCUGGAUGCGCGGACCUGGUGCCGUCCCCGGAGGCUGACUGGCUGUUGGCUGGCGGUGCUCUCUGACAGGCUUAACUCGAAUCACGAGAUACCGGUCGGCGACGCUAUUGCUUUGGGUACUUUCAGGACCCGUCUUGAAACACGGACCAAGGAGUCUAACAUGUGCGCGAGUCAUUGGGACAGNAAAACCUAAAGGCGCAUUGAAAGAGAAGAUCGGCCUCGCGUCGAUCGAGGGAGGAUGGGCGUCACCGAGAUGGCGCCCCGCACUCCCGGGGCGUCUCGUUGUCAUUGCGACAUGAGGCGCACCCAGAGCGUACACGUUGGGACCCGAAAGAUGGUGAACUAUGCCUGGUCAGGAUGAAGUCAGGGGAAACCCUGAUGGAGGUCCGUAGCGAUUCUGACGUGCAAAUCGAUCGUCCGAACUGGGUAUAGGGGCGAAAGACUAAUCGAACCAUCUAGUA
rnacentral:rRNA from 1 species